GGGGUUGUGGCUCAGUGGAAGAGCCCCUGUCUUGCAUGCAGGAGGUCCCGGGUUCAAUCCCCGGCAUCUCCA